AACGAACGCUGGCGGCAUGCCUAACACAUGCAAGUCGAACGAGACCUUCGGGUCUAGUGGCGCACGGGUGCGUAACGCGUGGGAACCUGCCCUUAGGUUCGGAAUAACUCCCCGAAAGGGGUGCUAAUACCGGAUAAUGUCUUCGGACCAAAGAUUUAUCGCCUUUGGAUGGGCCCGCGUUGGAUUAGCUAGUUGGUAGGGUAAAAGCCUACCAAGGCGACGAUCCAUAGCUGGUCUGAGAGGAUGAUCAGCCACACUGGGACUGAGACACGGCCCAGACUCCUACGGGAGGCAGGAGUGGGGAAUAUUGGACAAUGGGCGAAAGCCUGAACCAGCAAUGCCGCGUGAGUGAUGAAGGCCUUAGGGUUGUAAAGCUCUUUUACCCGGGAUGAUAAUGACAGUACCGGGAGAAUAAGCUCCGGCUAACUCCGUG
rnacentral:rRNA from 1 species